AAAUUUUUUAGUCAAAAAUGAUAUUAAAUUGCAAAUUUAAAGGUAUUUAAAAAUAAAAAUUUAAUAAAA
rnacentral:tRNA from 1 species